UACAGAGGGUGCGAGCGUUAAUCGGAAUUACUGGGCGUAAAGCGCGCGUAGGCGGCUUUGCAAGUCGGGUGUGAAAUCCCCAGGCUUAACCUGGGAACUGCAUUCGAGAUUGCAUUGCUAGAGUAUGGGAGAGGGAAGUGGAAUUCCUGGUGUAGCGGUGAAAUGCGCAGAUAUCAGGAAGAACACCCGGGGCGAAGGCGGCCCUCUGGCUCGACCCUGACGCUGAGGCGCGAAAGCGUGGGGAGCGAACGGG
rnacentral:rRNA from 1 species